UUUUGUUGAAGUACUCAAGGCCCCAGUCCGGCUGCUCUGGGCACAAACUUCCGGCUUAGGGACUGCCGGUGGUCCCGGCUGGGCUUCCACAGAAAGCCCUGUCCAUACGGCAGAGUGGGGCUCCUGCUUCUGAUCAGGGUUUGUUAAGCCGUAGAAGAAACCUGUGUCUCUGAGGGGUGUAUGGUUUACAACAUCUCUUAAGAAAAGAGAUGCAAAUGAUAAGAGACAAGAACAAAAAGUAUUUUUACAUGUAUUUAAGUUGAAGGAGGAAAUAAAAGACAGCAGUGGAAAUGGGUCUUCGAUGAAAGAUCACUUUUGGAGGAGUUCAUUUAACCACAUGGCGCUGCUGACUGAAAACAAUGAAGAUUUACAAAGUUGUCAUCAUCUGCAACCGUCCUCUCGUUUUGCAAUCCUGUUACAGUUGAGAAUGGUCCCUUUUCUUUUCCAAAGACAAUGGCUCCAACUGUGAAUAUUUCCAGCAUAUCCUGUUAUACUGUGCUUACCCUGUGAUGAUGUGAGAUGACACUCUGUCCACUUGAUGAGAUGAAGUGAAGUGAAUGACUAAGCACUUAUACACUGUGGAGGCAAAAUUCACAGUUGAUGGCAACGGCAAACCUAGCACCAUUUCUUAUUCUUUUUUCACAAUUUCACAGAUAAAAGAUUUCUUACCAUAGACCUUAAGAAACUCAGCAUAUGAUUUAUCUUAUUAAGUUGAAAACUUUUACCUUUUCACUAAGAGGAGCACAAGC